AAGGAGAGAGGAACCUGCAGCUUGAGGAAGUUCAGAGAAAACCCAGCCCUGUCACCAAGCUGUGAAGAAGCCAAGCAGUUCUCAUGGAAAAACCACAUAUAUGUAUUUCUGCCAAGAGGCCCAGCCAAGAUCCCAGCAACAGCCAGCAUCAACUACCAGACAGAAACCGGCCGGGUGGAGGAUGCAGCCGGGCGUGGUGGCUACAAGGAAGUGCCCUGGUGUUAAGAACUCAGCCUCUGAAACCCGCCGCCCAGCUUCGAGUCAGCGACGUACUUUUGUUGUCCCGGCCUUAGUAUCCCCGCUGCAAUAAGAGGUACUCAGCUCAAACCAUCUGGGUGAGGAUUAAAGGAGUUCAUAUCCAUAAAGGACUAGAACAGGUCCUGGCACCACGUAAACAUUCUUAUCAUCAAAUGUGAAAAAACAAAGUUCUCUAAGAUUUCGAAGAUUUUUCUUUGUGAUUGAUGAAUGCGUGCUACUUUAGGAAUCUAGUGACUUUUGAACAAAGGAAGAAGGAGAGUGAUCGAGAAAAAAAGAGAGACUGAGAUUGACUCAUGACAUUUUCAAAACUGUUUUGGCUCCUUGAGUGUAAGCUCCUAAAGGCAGAAAUCAAGCUGACCUAAGCAAAGACCUGAAGGAGCUAUGAGGACAUCUGGCAGAAGAGGUAAUGCUACGGGUAAGGAAUUGUACAAACACAUGAGAAAUAUCCACAGAAAGCAUAGCACCUGGCAAGAGGCUGGCCAGCGGCUAUA
rnacentral:lncRNA from 1 species